rnacentral:ncRNA from 2 species
UCGCGAAAAGGCGAUGGAGUUCGCCUAAGAAGCGUCCAAGAAUUUGGACUGAUGACUCCUGCAUCGUG